GGAAGUAAAGUCGUAACAAGGUUUCCGUAGGUGAACCUGCGGAAGGAUCAUUACCGAGUGAGGGUCUCUCAGGCCCGACCUCCCACCCUGUGUUUUUGUGACCUUGUUGCUUUGGCGGGCCCGCCUCGAUGAGAGGCCGCCGGAAGCUCACCGCUUUGGGCCCGUGCCUGUCAGUAGCCCCCUUAAAUUCUUAAUAAACCUGUCGUCUGAGUUAAUGGAUAUAAUGAAAAAAAGCUUUCAACAACGGAUCUCUUGGUUCUG
rnacentral:misc_RNA from 1 species